rnacentral:tRNA from 1 species
ACCGAAGUAGCUCAGUUGGGAGAUCGGUUAGACUAUAGAUCAAAAGGUCCCUGGUUCGAUUCCGGGGUUAGCAA